rnacentral:rRNA from 1 species
GACAGAGGGUGCGAACGUUGUUCGGAAUUACUGGGCGUAAAGGGCGCGUAGGCGGCCUUCUAAGUCGGACGUGAAAUCCCUCGGCUUAACCGAGGAACUGCGUCCGAUACUGAAAGGCUUGAAUCCGGGAGAGGGAUGUGGAAUUCCAGGUGUAGCGGUGAAAUGCGUAGAUAUCUGGAGGAACACCGGUGGCGAAGGCGGCAUCCUGGACCAACACUGACACUGAUGAGCGAAAGCCAGGGGAGCAAACGGG